GAUGAACGCUGGCGGCGUGCCUAAUACAUGCAAGUCGAGCGAACAGAUGAGGAGCUUGCUCCUCUGACGUUAGCGGCGGACGGGUGAGUAACACGUGGAUAACCUACCUAUAAGACUGGGAUAACUUCGGGAAACCGGAGCUAAUACCGGAUAAUAUAUUGAACCGCAUGGUUCAAUAGUGAAAGACGGUUUUGCUGUCAAUUAUAGAUGGAUCCGCGCCGCAUUAGCUAGUUGGUAAGGUAACGGCUUACCAAGGCAACGAUGCGUAGCCGACCUGAGAGGGUGAUCGGCCACACUGGCACUGAGACACGGUCCAGACUCCUACGGGAGGCAGCAGUAGGGAAUCUUCCGCAAUGGGCGAAAGCCUGACGGAGCAACGCCGCGUGAGUGAUGAAGGUCUUCGGAUCGUAAAACUCUGUUAUUAGGGAAGAACAAAUGUGUAAGUAACUAUGCACGUCUUGACGGUACCUAAUCAGAAAGCCACGGCUAACUACGUG
rnacentral:rRNA from 1 species